UUUGUAGCCAACUUCACUGCGACAAGUUCAAUGCAACUCAGGGUACAGGUAUGUUGAUCAUCAGCUGACGCGAUAUUUUUCUUUCAUAAAUCAUUAUACGCGUCUCAGUCAUUUAUACUAAUAACUUUUAAAUGUUAUUAAGUACGUAAUAAAAACUCCACAUUAUGCUGUCAUGUGUAUCCGAAGCAUCGACGAAAAGAAAAAAAGGAGGAACAAAAACCCUUGACCCAAAUGCGUUACGGCAAAGAAAUAUUCGAUGAUAUGCUCCUCCAAGGUUCGAACCAUCGGGAAAAGUAAUAUGAAUCGGUAAAAAUGGACACGCGUGGACAAUUAGAUCGGUGUCUAAUUGGACCGCGCGCUCGAUUAGGCAAGAAGAAAUCGUGAACGAAAAGGGGAACGAUCGCUAAUCAAUCCAUACUAGUGCGACUACUCCCUAGAGUUGCACAAACUUUUUAUUUCAUACUAAUUAUCCGGCUUUCUUAUAUCUAGAACAUAGACAAUUAUAGAAUUCUGAAAAUCAAGCAGUAACGUGUUGAAAUCUAUAUAAAAAAUAAAAAUUAAAUUCUGUUCGUUGGUAAGUGCAUCACAUGAGAACGGCUGGACCGAUUUGGCUAAUUUUUUUUUUUUAAUGUUGGUAAUAGUCCGAAUAAGGUUUUUAGGGAAAGAAAAAUUGGAAAAGUUGCCCGGAAAAAUGGAAAAUUCGGGAAACUUUUUUUUUUUUUUCAAUUUUACUUUGUUGGCACAUUUUCAAUAGCUUUUCACAAAUUCACAAAACGAUUUAUUGAAAUUUAGACAGGACGUCUGUCGGGUCAGCUAGUUAAUUAAUAGUUUUUAAUUUGUAAUAUACAAGAGAUUGAUAAAAAGGGAGAAAAUUAGAUGGAUAUAAAAAGAAAGUUCAAACGAUUUAGUCCUUCGGAUUGAUUAGCCAAUCGAUCAUAAUUUUCUAAUCGAUCAUCCGGUUGUCGAGCUCUUUGCAUUUAAUUAUAUUGGAUUGUUCCAAAGCAUACAGAAUGAGAGUGAAACCGCGUAUCGAUACCUUGACUCGAUCGAUUUCGAAAUCUCUUUUUUUUUUUUCUUUCCUCUGAAUCGAUAAUUAAUAACUUCGAUCCUUGGAGUCGUCAACCUUUUAAAAUUCUAAAGCGUUUAAAAUUUUUUUUAAAGGAUAAGAUAUCUGAAAGCUGAGCAAUUUAAAAAAUGAAAAAGAAUCGAGAUCUUUCAAAGGGAGGGCGCGAUCGACGGGAUACGGAUUUUUUUGAAACUUGCAGUAUUUGAAGAUGUCCUCUCCAAAUUUAAUUUCCCAAAGCAGUAGCGCGCGCCCCUCGAGAUUUUCCGAGAAAAUUGCAUAAAAAUCGC